ensembl:snRNA U4 U4 spliceosomal RNA
AGCUUUGCACAGUGGCAGUAUCGUAGACAAUGAGGCUUAUCUGAGGUGCAAUUAUUGCUAAAACCAAUCUCAGGGGACACCUGGGUGGCUCAUUAGAUUAAGUGUCUGCCUUCGGCUUGGGUCAUGAUCCCAGGGUCCUGGAAUCGAGUCCCUCAUUGGGG